GGGUACUACGAGCAUAAGCUUAAAACCCAAAGGACUUGGCGGUGCUUUAGAUCCACCUAGAGGAGCCUGUUCUAGAACCGAUAACCCCCGUUAAACCUCACCUUCCCUUGCCCCUCCCGCCUAUAUACCGCCGUCGUCAGCAUACCCUGUGAAGGAACAACAGUAAGCAAAAUUGGUACAGCCUAAAACGCCAGGUCGAGGUGUAGCACAUGAGAAGGAAAGAAAUGGGCUACAUUUCCUUUUUAAGGAAACACGAAUUGUGUUUUGAAAAAACCACAUGAAGGAGGAUUUAGCAGUAAGUAAGAAAAAGAGAGUCUUGCUGAACCCGGCCCUGAAGCGCGCACACACCGCCCGUCACUCUCCCCAAGCCACUAAACAACCAUCUUUAAUAAACAAGAUAGGCAAAGGGGAGGCAAGUCGUAACAUGGUAAGUGUACCGGAAGGUGCACUUGGAAAAAU
rnacentral:rRNA from 1 species